GUUGCGGUGUCCGCAGCAACUCACAACGUUCCCCCGUCGUUUUCCUUUUGCAAUUAAGAUUUUUUUUGUAUCAAAGCCGUUUACUCUUUAUUUCGUCAAGGAAAAUGUUUUUGAUUUGAAAAGUAAGAAGUCUUGCGGAUUGUGAAAACGGGAGACCCAAUUUAUGUGAUUUCAAAAGUAAAACGAAAAACUUUUGUAAAAGUGAAAAACGGAGCCUGCCUGUUUUUUGCUCAUAUUCAUUGAAGCCCUAUGGAAGAGAUCCAUACAUACUGUUGAGUGAUCACUUUCACAAAUAUACCAUUAAGCAUUUAGGUUGAGUGGUGGCUAGCAAAGGGAGAUGUGUUCAUUAGUGAAGGUGUUGUGAGUUGAGUGUGUGCUUGGGCACCAUUGUUAAGAUUCGCUUAUUGUGUGGAAAGCGAACACCAGGCCUUAAAGUCCCCAAGCAUACGUGUUCUUGAAAUUGUUAAUAAGAUCGUGCAAAUCUUGCUCAACAAAAUUAUCAGUUGGCGAGAUGUAGAUAUGUAUUAAUACAAGGGGUGUUUCAGGUUUGAUUCCUGCACCAAUGGAAACCAAAGUGGAAAAUAUAGAAAUUAUUUUGCGAUCAAUACUUUUUGAAAUGGAGAGGGCGACGCCUUUACUUGCUUUUGUGUUUGAUGUAAUGUAAUUUUUUUUGUAUAGCUCAAAUUGUUUUGCCGUAUUAAAAUAUAUCCUCGUUAAUGAGGUGAGUUUCUUGUAGUGUAAUUAGCUUUGGUUUGUGCUUAUUUACUAGAGCCGUGCACGAGUACACACUAAUUCGUAUUAACAGUUAGGAACCACACUGUGCACAGUAUCAAAACAUGAUUCAUGUAUCCUUUUCACACUAUCUUUCAAUUCAUUUUCUUUCCUUUAUUUGCUGACUCAUUGACUCAAGGCAUAAUUGUCGAGUGACUCAUGUCAAAUCGUAUGACUCGCACUCACUCUGUUACGAAAAACGUUGCGACAGAGAGAGAGUGUGUGAGGUGUCUCUCUCGCUCAAUUUGUUGUGCAUUGUUUUGCUCACUGCAGUGUGGAAAAGAAAACGUCCAAAAGCUAACGAGAAGGACAUUUUCAUUUAAUUUUCUGUCGGUGCUAGUACUGUUUGCUAAUUACUGAAAAUGGAAUAAUUCGAUUGUUGGUUCUUUUGAUUAUUCCUUGUCACCAUCUGGCUUCGAAUUACCAGCCGAUAUAAAAGCAAAAAUAGUGGCUGGCCAAUACAAAAUUAACCAAAAAAGUGGCAAAAGCAAGGUGUGGGAAGUUUUUGGUCCUGUCGUUGGAGAGGACAGCAAUGUUAUUCCAAACAUCGUGGCAUGUCGAAAUUGUUUUACGGUUUUCAAGUUUACUGGUGCCACGUCCAAUUUGGUCCGGCAUAAGUGCUAUAAGGUUACCAAAUCUGAAGAAAACGGCAACGUUUAUGAACCUGUCGUAGAUGCUGAAACGAAAUUAUCGGUGACAAAGGUCGUGACGAAAGUGGGUCGUUCAAAAUUGUCGACCAUUUAGUAUUAUCAGCGAUUCAGGAUUUAAGGACGUUAUAACCGUUGCCCUUGAUAUUGGAAGUUGUUUUGGACCAAACAUAAACGUUAGCAACCUGCUACCUCAUCCAACAACUGUAUCGCGUAACGUCACAGACUUAUACAUUCACACGAUUCAGUUAAGCAAGAUGGGAUAAUUUUUGGAAUACUGUGCACUCAUGCAGGGCUCUAUUAUUUACUAAGAGGGGGAGACUGUAGAAUUUGUCUUUGUAUCCAUAUAUGUUCCAUUGAAAGUUUUAAGUGCAACAAGCAGAUCAAGUUAAAUUGGUUAUAACGUUGUCAGUAAUUUCUAGUAUUGUGUCCUUGUCUAAUUUUGAUUCGCUGAUUGUUCUUGUUUGUUUGCGUUUUUUUUUUUUUUUCUUGGAGGUGGGUAGUUUUGUGUGGCUCACUUUUCACUGUUAGCAAGGGAGGCGGCCAAAAUUUACUCGCAGCGAAGAGAUAUAGCGCCGGCGGAGCCAAAUAGGGACGAAAUCGGACAACGGGAGCGGCAUCAAACAAUGGCCGAGUGGCAGCGCAGAUGGACGGAGUCAACGAAGGGGAGAUGGACGCACACCCUAAUACCAAGAGUCGAAGAGUGGUGCAAGCGAAGGCACGGGAGUGUGAACUUCCACCUGACGCAACUUCUAAGCGGCCACGGUUGCUUUAAAGCAUACCUACAUAGGUUUGGCCACGAAACAGACGGAGAGUGUCCGGCCUGCGACGGAACGCCAGAGGACGCGGAGCACAUACUCUUCAACUGCGCGAGAUUCGCAGCGGAGAGAGAGAGAAUGGAGGACUGCUGUGGAGAAAGGCUGACAAAGGAAACACUGGUGAGAGCGAUGCUGGAAGACACGCACAAAUGGGAGGCUGUAUGCAACUUUGCGUGCGUUGUAAUGCGUAAGCUACGCGAGGCCGAGCGCGCCAGAAGACGGCAGACAGGAGGGGCAUAGAGUGCCCGCCCGGGCCCUGCGACGCAAUACCUGACGGUCGUCCCGCAGGAGCACCUGGCAAACCAAACAUACCUACUUAAACACCUAAUACUUCUUUCUAUACUGCUACUUUUCUAUCCUACUGUAUAUAUCAUGUAAACGCUUUUUCCCCUUCCGCUUCUCACUACCUAAUAAAAAAUGGAAUUAAAAAAAAAAAAAAAAAAAAA